UAGGGAAUCUUCGGCAAUGGACGAAAGUCUGACCGAGCAACGCCGCGUGAGUGAAGAAGGUUUUCGGAUCGUAAAACUCUGUUGUUAGAGAAGAACAAGGACGUUAGUAACUGAACGUCCCCUGACGGUAUCUAACCAGAAAGCCACGGCUAACUACGUGCCAGCAGCCGCGGUAAUACGUAGGUGGCAAGCGUUGUCCGGCUUUAUUGGGCGUAAAGCGAGCGCAGGCGGUUUCUUAAGUCUGAUGUGAAAGCCCCCGGCUCAACCGGGGAGGGUCAUUGGAAACUGGGAGAAUUGAGUGCAGAAGAGGAGAGUGGAAUUCCAUGUGUAGCGGUGAAAUGCGUAGAUAUAUGGAGGAACACCAGUGGCGAAGGCGGCUCUCUGGUCUGUAACUGACGCUGAGGCUCGAAAGCGUGGGGAGCAAACAGG
rnacentral:rRNA from 1 species